rnacentral:misc_RNA from 1 species
GAUGAAGAACGCAGCGAAAUGCGAUAAGUAAUGUGAAUUGCAGAAUUCCGUGAAUCAUCGAAUCUUUGAACGCACAUUGCGCCCCCUGGCAUUCCGGGGGGCAUGCCUGUCCGAGCGUCAUUUCUGCCCUCCAGCCCGGCUGGGUGUUGGGCGCUGUCCCCCCGGGGACACGCCCCAAAGGCAGUGGCGGCGCCGCGUCGGGUCCUCGAGCGUAUGGGGCUUUGUCACCCGCUCGGGACGGACUCGUCGGCGCUGGUCUUCCUCCAGGCGACCCUUCGGGGCUCGUCUUCCUUCGGUUGACCUCGGAUCAGGUAGGGUUACCCGCUGAACUUAAGCAUAUAAUAAGCGGAGGA